GUUUGUUUGGUUUGUUUAUUGAACAUAAAACAUAUACAGUAAUAAUUUGACAGAAAAUAAGGUAGAUAAAAUAGUAAAAAGAAAGAAAUCAGUCUUCAUUCAACACAGUUAUUAUGUUCAAGGGAGUAGGAAGAAGUAAAAAACUUAUCUAGUCCUACCCCGUUAUGCGCUUAUACCUAAUAAAUCAUUUUCAUAUCAAUCAGAAAAGAAAAAAAGUAAGAAGAAAGAAGUCUCCAUUAAGGCUUAACCGUGAUAUUUUUACAACUUUUGGUUUGUAUCGGGAUUAUAUACAUCCACACCCUGGCACUCUUGUGUCAAUU